GGCCCAAUGGUGUACUGGUAACAUAUCCUCUUCAUUUGAUGAACAGAAGUCUAAGUCAGAGGAAGACCCCUGUUUGAUUCGGGGCUGGGCCA